rnacentral:rRNA from 1 species
GACAGAGGUGCCGAGCGUUAGGCGGAAUCACUGGGCUUAAAGCGUGUGUAGGCGGGCCGUUAAGUACCUUGUGAAAUCCCCCGGCUCAACCGGGGAACGGCUGGGUAUACUGGCGGUCUUGAGCCACCUAGGGGCGAGCGGAACAAGCGGUGGAGCGGUGAAAUGCGUAGAUAUCGCUUGGAACGCCAAUGGUGAAAACAGGUAGCUGGGAGUGUGCUGACACUGAGACACGAAAGCCAGGGGAGCGAACGGG